UUAAGCGACUAAGCGUACACGGUGGAUGCCCUGGCAGUCAGAGGCGAUGAAGGACGUGCUAAUCUGCGAAAAGCGUCGGUAAGGUGAUAUGAACCGUUACAGCCGGCGAUGUCCGAAUGGGGAAACCCAGUGCAAUUCGUUGCACUAUCGUUAACUGAAUACAUAGGUUAACGAGGCGAACCGGGGGAACUGAAACAUCUAAGUACCCCGAGGAAAAGAAAUCAACCGAGAUUCCCCCAGUAGCGGCGAGCGAACGGGGAGCAGCCCAGAGUCUGAAUCAGCUUGUGUGUUAGUGGAACGGUCUGGAAAGUCCGACGGUACAGGGUGAUAGUCCCGUACACCAAAAUGCACAGGCUGUGAACUCGAAGAGUAGGGCGGGACACGUGGUAUCCUGUCUGAAUAUGGGGGGACCAUCCUCCAAGGCUAAAUACUCCUGACUGACCGAUAGUGAACCAGUACCGUGAGGGAAAGGCGAAAAGAACCCCGGCGAGGGGAGUGAAAAAGAACCUGAAACCGUGUACGUACAAGCAGUGGGAGCACCUUCGGGUGUGACUGCGUACCUUUUGUAUAAUGGGUCAGCGACUUAUAUUCUGUAGCAAGGUUAACCGUAUAGGGGAGCCGCAGGGAAACCGAGUCUUAACUGGGCGUUAAGUUGCAGGGUAUAGACCCGAAACCCGGUGAUCUAGCCAUGGGCAGGUUGAAGGUUGGGUAACACUAACUGGAGGACCGAACCGACUAAUGUUGAAAAAUUAGCGGAUGACUUGUGGCUGGGGGUGAAAGGCCAAUCAAACCGGGAGAUAGCUGGUUCUCCCCGAAAGCUAUUUAGGUAGCGCCUCGUGAACUCAUCUUCGGGGGUAGAGCACUGUUUCGGCUAGGGGGUCAUCCCGACUUACCAACCCGAUGCAAACUACGAAUACCGAAGAAUGUUAUCACGGGAGACACACGGCGGGUGCUAACGUCCGUCGUGAAGAGGGAAACAACCCAGACCGCCAGCUAAGGUCCCAAAGUCAUGGUUAAGUGGGAAACGAUGUGGGAAGGCACAGACAGCCAGGAUGUUGGCUUAGAAGCAGCCAUCAUUUAAAGAAAGCGUAAUAGCUCACUGGUCGAGUCGGCCUGCGCGGAAGAUGUAACGGGGCUAAACCAUGCACCGAAGCUGCGGCAGCGACACUAUGUGUUGUUGGGUAGGGGAGCGUUCUGUAAGCCUGCGAAGGUGUGCUGUGAGGCAUGCUGGAGGUAUCAGAAGUGCGAAUGCUGACAUAAGUAACGAUAAAGCGGGUGAAAAGCCCGCUCGCCGGAAGACCAAGGGUUCCUGUCCAACGUUAAUCGGGGCAGGGUGAGUCGACCCCUAAGGCGAGGCCGAAAGGCGUAGUCGAUGGGAAACAGGUUAAUAUUCCUGUACUUGGUGUUACUGCGAAGGGGGGACGGAGAAGGCUAUGUUAGCCGGGCGACGGUUGUCCCGGUUUAAGCAUGUAGGCUGGUUAUCCAGGCAAAUCCGGAUAAUCAAGGCUGAGGUGUGAUGACGAGGCACUACGGUGCUGAAGUAACAAAUGCCCUGCUUCCAGGAAAAGCCUCUAAGCAUCAGGUAACAUCAAAUCGUACCCCAAACCGACACAGGUGGUCAGGUAGAGAAUACCAAGGCGCUUGAGAGAACUCGGGUGAAGGAACUAGGCAAAAUGGUGCCGUAACUUCGGGAGAAGGCACGCUGGUGUGUAGGUGAAGUCCCUGCGGAUGGAGCUGAGACCAGUCGAAGAUACCAGCUGGCUGCAACUGUUUAUUAAAAACACAGCACUGUGCAAACACGAAAGUGGACGUAUACGGUGUGACGCCUGCCCGGUGCCGGAAGGUUAAUUGAUGGGGUUAUCCGUAAGGAGAAGCUCUUGAUCGAAGCCCCGGUAAACGGCGGCCGUAACUAUAACGGUCCUAAGGUAGCGAAAUUCCUUGUCGGGUAAGUUCCGACCUGCACGAAUGGCGUAAUGAUGGCCAGGCUGUCUCCACCCGAGACUCAGUGAAAUUGAACUCGCUGUGAAGAUGCAGUGUACCCGCGGCAAGACGGAAAGACCCCGUGAACCUUUACUAUAGCUUGACACUGAACAUUGAGCCUUGAUGUGUAGGAUAGGUGGGAGGCUUUGAAGCGUGGACGCCAGUCUGCGUGGAGCCAACCUUGAAAUACCACCCUUUAAUGUUUGAUGUUCUAACGUUGGCCCCUGACCGGGGUUGCGGACAGUGUCUGGUGGGUAGUUUGACUGGGGCGGUCUCCUCCCAAAGCGUAACGGAGGAGCACGAAGGUUAGCUAAUCCUGGUCGGACAUCAGGAGGUUAGUGCAAUGGCAUAAGCUAGCUUGACUGCGAGCGUGACGGCGCGAGCAGGUGCGAAAGCAGGUCAUAGUGAUCCGGUGGUUCUGAAUGGAAGGGCCAUCGCUCAACGGAUAAAAGGUACUCCGGGGAUAACAGGCUGAUACCGCCCAAGAGUUCAUAUCGACGGCGGUGUUUGGCACCUCGAUGUCGGCUCAUCACAUCCUGGGGCUGAAGUAGGUCCCAAGGGUAUGGCUGUUCGCCAUUUAAAGUGGUACGCGAGCUGGGUUUAGAACGUCGUGAGACAGUUCGGUCCCUAUCUGCCGUGGUCGCUGGAGAAUUGAGGGGGGCUGCUCCUAGUACGAGAGGACCGGAGUGGACGCAUCACUGGUGUUCGGGUUGUCAUGCCAAUGGCACUGCCCGGUAGCUAAAUGCGGAAGAGAUAAGUGCUGAAAGCAUCUAAGCACGAAACUUGCCCCGAGAUGAGUUCUCCCUGAGACUUUAAGUCUCCUGAAGGAACGUUAAAGACGAUGACGUUGAUAGGCCGGGUGUGUAAGCGCAGCGAUGCGUUGAGCUAACCGGUACUAAUGAACCGUGAGGCUUAACCUU
rnacentral:rRNA from 1 species